rnacentral:rRNA from 1 species
CCUACGGGUGACAGCAGUGGGGGAUAUUGCACAAUGGGGGAAACCCUGAUGCAGCGACGCCGCGUGGGCGAAGAAGUAUUUCGGUAUGUAAAGCCCUAUCCGCUGGGAAGAAGAAAUGACGGUACCUGAGUAAGACGCACCGGCUAAAUCCGUGCCAGCCGCCGCUGUAAUACGUAUGGUGCAAGCGUUCUCCGGAUUUACUGGGUGUAAAGGGAGCGCAGGCGGCACGGCAGGCCUGAUGUGAAACCCCGCGGCCCAACCGCGGGACUGCAUUGGGAACUACCGAGCUGGAGUGGCGGAGAGGUAGGCGGAAUUCCUAGUGUAGCGGUGAAAUGCGUAGAGAUUGGGAGGAACACCAGUGGCGAAGGCGGCCUACUGGACGGUGACUGACGCUGAGGCUCGAAAGCGUGGGGAGCAAACAGGAUUAGAUACCCCAGUAGUC